UGCGUGAAGUCGGAAUCGCUAGUAAUCGCGGAUCAGCAUGCCGCGGUGAAUACGUUCCCGGGCCUUGUACACACCGCCCGUCACACCAUGAGAGUCGGGAACACCCGAAGCCCGUAGCCUAACAGCAAUGAGGGCGCGGUCGAAGGUGGGUUCGAUAAUUGGGGUGAAGUCGUAACAAGGUAGC
rnacentral:rRNA from 1 species